GGGUCAUUGAUGAUACCACAGUGAUCUUGAAGGUAGAUGAUGACAUAAAAAACAUGCUCAGUAGAAUUACCCUGAGGCCC
rnacentral:snoRNA from 1 species